rnacentral:rRNA from 1 species
UACAGAGGGUGCGAGCGUUAAUCGGAAUUACUGGGCGUAAAGCGCGCGUAGGCGGCUUUGCAAGUCGGGUGUGAAAUCCCCAGGCUUAACCUGGGAACUGCAUUCGAGACUGCAUAGCUAGAGUAUGGGAGAGGGAAGUGGAAUUUCAGGUGUAGCGGUGAAAUGCGUAGAUAUCUGAAGGAACAUCAGUGGCGAAAGCGACUUCCUGGACCAAUACUGACGCUCAUGUGCGAAAGCGUGGGGAGCAAACAGGG